GUCACCCUUGCUCUACAGCCAAACAUGCAGGACUCUAGUAACCCGCGAAAUGAUGGGAUAGCGUUGCAAAUCCUUAAAAGAGUCUUACGGCCUAUACGACAAUUGCCUCAGGUUGCCCGAGUUGCCCAUGACAGCACAGUGCCAGCAGCCCACCGACCUCUUCUCCAGCAUUGGGUCCACAUUCCCAGAAAUCCUGGCUGACAUUGACUUCUCCACUGCAACCAUCGAGUUCAUUGUCUCCUAAACCUUGCCAUGGAGGCCUGUGGCACCUGAGCCAGCCAUUAUCAUCACCAGCACUUCCAUGAGCUACAAGCUGGACCCACUGCAGUCCUCCUGACACACUGAAAUCAGAGCCUGCACACAGAGCAGCAGAUGCUUCAAUGUAAAGGUCAUUUCCAGGUCCUUGACAGGCGUGCAUCUGGGCCAGAUCCAUGGCAAUAACCUUCAGGUUGAGGCUAGAGGGCUUCAGAUGGGCAGCUUCGAAUGACAGGAGCAAGGACCAAGAGGCCGGAAAGGGAGGGUGACAUUUUCAGCAUCUAUAAGAUCAACUUUAGAAAUAUUUGGGGGUUGACAAAUUCCCAUCAAGCUCUGUGGAUCUUGUACAACUGCUCACCGCCGGCUUCUCAUCAGCACAUGAUUGGUGCAGGGUUCUGAGGAUGAUUUUGAGAUGUUCCCUGAUGUGGUCUUGUGAGGAGAGUUCAUGACAGAUGGCAGGAAGCUUCGUGGAGAGAUUUCUGAAGACACUCCUGAGCUCCCAACAGCGGGCAACUCUCUUGCAGAGGAUA
rnacentral:antisense_RNA from 1 species